rnacentral:rRNA from 1 species
UCGAGAAUCUUCCGCAAUGGGCGAAAGCCUGACGGAGCGACAUCGCGUGGUUGAUGAAGCUCUUAGGAGCGUAAAGACCUUUUCUUAGGGAGGAAUUUUAUUGACGUUACCUAAGGAAUAAGGGGUUGCUAAACUCGUGCCAGCAGCAGCGGUAAUACGAGUGCCCCAAGCGUUACCCGGAUUAAUUGGGCGUAAAGAGCAUGUAGGUGGUCUUAUCAGUCCUUCGUUAAAUCUCCCGGCUUAACCGGGAAAGUGCGGAGGAAACAGUAAGACUUAGAGAGUGUGAGGGGUUUGUGGAACUCAUGGUGUAGGGGUGAAAUCCGUUGAUAUCAUGAGGAACGCCAAAAGCGAAGGCAGCAAACUGGCACAUAUCUGACACUGAGAUGCGAAAGCGUGGGGAGCGAACGGGAUUAGAUACCCCGGUAGUCCACGCCCUAAACGAUGUCCGCUAGCUUUCCGGAGUAUCGACCCUCUGGGAGGCGAAGCUAACGCGUUAAGCGGACCGCCUGGGAA